GUGAGAUCAGUGGGAGGGAUGUGCCCUUAACUCACCAUAGAUGUAUCACGGUGAAUAGCUCUCAAUUAAAAAUCACUUGAUCGAAUCUAUCAAAUUUAUCUUGAAUACUAACUAGUUAAUUAGUUUCAAUUUGAUCCACCAGAAGAUUCGGGCUUAAACAUGGAGCCAUGAUCAUGGUCCAUUUAUUAGGGUCAAACAUAUAGACUUGAUCAAACUUCAACUACUG
rnacentral:lncRNA from 1 species